rnacentral:rRNA from 1 species
GAAAGUCUUCGGACGAGUAAAGCGGCGAAAGGGUGAGUAACACGUAACCAAUCUACCCCUUAGACUGGAAUAACCACUGGAAACGGUGGGUAAUGCCAGAUGGUCCGACCUGGAGGCAUCUCCGGGGCGGUAAACGGUGGCGAAAGCUGCUGCUUUGGGAGGAGGUUGCGGGCUAUCAGCUAGUUGGUGGGGUAACGGCUUACCAAGGCGAUGACGGCUACCGGGUCUGAGAGGACGGUCCGGCACACUGGGACUGAGACACUGCCCAGACUCCUACGGGAGGCUGCAGUCGAGAAUCUUCCGCAAUGGGCGUAAGCCUGACGGAGCGACACCGCGUGUAGGAUGAAGGCCUUCGGGUUGUAAACUACUGUCAGGUUCUAGGAAACUCUUGGUGUGAAUAGCGCCAAGACUGACCAAGACCAAAGGAAGCAACGGCUAACUCUGUGCCAGCAGCCGCGGUAAGACAGAGGUUGCAAGCGUUGUUCGGAAUUACUGGGCAUAAAGCGCACGUAGGCGGCCCGCUAAGUCCGAUGUGAAAUCCCCCGGCUCAACCGGGGAAUUGCGUCAGAUACUGGCGGGCUUGAGGUCGAUAGGGGUGAGUGGAACUCCAGGUGGAGCGGUGAAAUGCGUAGAUAUCUGGAGGAACACCGGUGGCGAAAGCGACUCACUGGAUCGAAUCUGACGCUGAGGUGCGAAAGCUAGGGUAGCAAACGGGAUUAGAUACCCUGGUAGUCC